rnacentral:rRNA from 1 species
UUCGAGCGGCAGCACGGGAAGCUUGCUUCCUGGUGGCGAGCGGCGGACGGGUGAGUAAUGCAUAGAAAUCUGCCCGGUAGUGGGGGAUAACCUGGGGAAACCCAGGCUAAUACCGCAUACGUCCUACGGGAGAAAGCAGGGGAUCUUCGGACCUUGCGCUAUCGGAUGAGUCUAUGUCGGAUUAGCUUGUUGGUGAGGUAAUGGCUCACCAAGGCGACGAUCCGUAGCUGGUCUGAGAGGAUGAUCAGCCACAUCGGGACUGAGACACGGCCCGAACUCCUACGGGAGGCAGCAGUGGGGAAUAUUGGACAAUGGGCGAAAGCCUGAUCCAGCCAUGCCGCGUGUGUGAAGAAGGCCUUCGGGUUGUAAAGCACUUUCAGUGGGGAAGAAAGCCUUGGUGGCCUAAUACCCUCGAGGAAGGAC